rnacentral:rRNA from 1 species
CCUACGGGGGGCAGCAGUGAGGAAUAUUGGUCAAUGGGCGGAAGUCUGAACCAGCCAUGCCGCGUGCAGGAAGACGGCUCUAUGAGUUGUAAACUGCUUUUGUACGAGGGUAAACGCAGAUACGCGUAUCUGUCUGAAAGUAUCGUACGAAUAAGGAUCGGCUAACUCCGUGCCAGCAGCCGCGGUAAUACGGAGGAUUCAAGCGUUAUCCGGAUUUAUUGGGUUUAAAGGGUGCGUAGGCGGUCGGAUAAGUUAGAGGUGAAAUCCCGAGGCUCAACUUCGGAAUUGCCUCUGAUACUGUUAGGCUAGAGAGUAGUUGCGGUAGGCGGAAUGUAUGGUGUAGCGGUGAAAUGCUUAGAGAUCAUACAGAACACCGAUUGCGAAGGCAGCUUACCAAGCUACUUCUGACGUUGAGGCACGAAAGCGUGGGGAGCAAACAGGAUUAGAUACCCCUGUAGUC